GUCGAACGCGUUGGCCAACUGAUUGAACGUGCUUGCACGGACUUGACGUUGGUUUACCAGCGAGUGGCGGACGGGUGAGUAACACGUAGGUAACCUGCCCCAAAGCGGGGGAUAACAUUUGGAAACAGAUGCUAAUACCGCAUAACAAUUUGAAUCGCAUGAUUCAAAUUUAAAAGAUGGCUUCGGCUAUCACUUUGGGAUGGACCUGCGGCGCAUUAGCUUGUUGGUAGGGUAACGGCCUACCAAGGCUGUGAUGCGUAGCCGAGUUGAGAGACUGAUCGGCCACAAUGGAACUGAGACACGGUCCAUACUCCUACGGGAGGCAGCAGUAGGGAAUCUUCCACAAUGGGCGCAAGCCUGAUGGAGCAACACCGCGUGAGUGAAGAAGGGUUUCGGCUCGUAAAGCUCUGUUGUUAGAGAAGAACGUGCGUGAGAGCAACUGUUCACGCAGUGACGGUAUCUAACCAGAAAGUCACGGCUAACUACGUGCCAGCAGCCGCGGUAAUACGUAGGUGGCAAGCGUUAUCCGGAUUUAUUGGGCGUAGAGCGAGCGCAGGCGGUUUGAUAAGUCUGAUGUGAAAGCCUUUGGCUUAACCAAAGAAGUGCAUCGGAAACUGUCAGACUUGAGUGCAGAAGAGGACAGUGGAACUCCAUGUGUAGCGGUGGAAUGCGUAGAUAUAUGGAAGAACACCAGUGGCGAAGGCGGCUGUCUGGUCUG
rnacentral:rRNA from 1 species